rnacentral:rRNA from 1 species
AUCCUGGCUCAGGACGAACGCUGGCGGCGUGCCUAAUACAUGCAAGUCGAGCGGACAGAUGGGAGCUUGCUCCCUGAUGUUAGCGGCGGACGGGUGAGUAACACGUGGGUAACCUGCCUGUAAGACUGGGAUAACUCCGGGAAACCGGGGCUAAUACCGGAUGGUUGUUUGAACCGCAUGGUUCAAACAUAAAAGGUGGCUUCGGCUACCACUUACAGAUGGACCCGCGGCGCAUUAGCUAGUUGGUGAGGUAAYGGCUCACCAAGGCAACGAUGCGUAGCCGACCUGAGAGGGUGAUCGGCCACACUGGGACUGAGACACGGCCCAGACUCCUACGGGAGGCAGCAGUAGGGAAUCUUCCGCAAUGGACGAAAGUCUGACGGAGCAACGCCGCGUGAGUGAUGAAGGUUUUCGGAUCGUAAAGCUCUGUUGUUAGGGAAGAACAAGUACCGUUCRAAUAGGGCGGUACCUKACGGUACCWACCAGAA